ACUUAAUUGAAUGAUGCUCAUCCGAUAAAGUUUGGCUGAGGUUUGACCAAUUUACUAAAAUCUAGUCCAAAUCAAUCAGGUUUUAUUAGACUAAUAUCUUUUUAUGAUUUAACUUGAUAUUGAUCGGAUCAGACUCUAGGUUGCAUAACUAUGUUCUUAUCUGCUAUCCUUUCCCUCUCUUUUAAAGGAUUGAUCAUGAGCUUGGUGCCUAAGAAUGGCAUCAAGAAUAAAUGAUGUUCUAGUCUUUGCUUGCAUCUAAAACUUGAGCAAAAGAUCCGCUGUCUGUUUUGGAUUCUUCAUGGAGGAAUAAACAAGGUCAUACGUUCUAGUCAUCUAGAAGAAAAGAACAGUGUUGCCCAAUGCAGCUCCCCAUCUCUGCACUAAAGUUGAAGGAAAAUGGACUGACACCGCCUUGAUGAUUCAUCAAUCUACCUAAUUAGUCUGCAAGUUUUUACAGGUUCACAUCAAGGUUUAUGGUCCAUAAAUUUGGGGAUUUUUUUCUAAAAUCCAUUUCUGAAAGACAAAACUCAGGUUGGCCCAUAUGAGGUCGUGAUAUACUGUACAGAAUUCAAAGACAAUCAUCCGCUCCUUGCAGGAACUUCCUGAUACAGUCUAAAUCCAAGGAAAAUUCUGAUAUCACAAUCAUUGGUUCUGUUUCAGAGAAAAUUCUUGGCAAGAAAACGGAGAUCUCAGAACCCUCAAAAGUUCCCGACAACAAUGCUCGCAUGGGAAACUGCCCUUAGCUCGAGGCAGAUAAUUUCCCUUUUUUGCAGCCUGUCUCCAGAGUAGAGAUGGGGCAUCUCGAAUAAAAACUACAUAUAUAGUUUUCUUGAGCUCUGAAGAACAUAUAAUAUCAGCCAAUCCUUUCUGCUUACUGAAUCUGUAACUGUUGCCCAAAAUGAAACAAGCAGGCUCCUCCUAGACUCGCAUAUCCCAUGUUGCCUUACGAGAGUUUCCAGCUUUGAUGUCCUCCAAAUAACUGUAUGAACCGGUUUGUGAUCAUAUAUUUUCUACGUUUUAAA